rnacentral:rRNA from 1 species
GUGGGGAAUAUUGGACAAUGGGCGAAAGCCUGAUCCAGCCAUGCCGCGUGUGUGAAGAAGGUCUUCGGAUUGUAAAGCACUUUAAGUUGGGAGGAAGGGCAGUAAGUUAAUACCUUGCUGUUUUGACGUUACCGACAGAAUAAGCACCGGCUAACUUCGUGCCAGCAGCCGCGGUAAUACGAAGGGUGCAAGCGUUAAUCGGAAUUACUGGGCGUAAAGCGCGCGUAGGUGGUUUUGUAAGUUGGAGGUGAAAUCCCCGGGCUCAACCCGGGAACUGCCUCCAAAACUGCAUGACUAGAGUACGGUAGAGGGUAGUGGAAUUUCCUGUGUAGCGGUGAAAUGCGUAGAUAUAGGAAGGAACACCAGUGGCGAAGGCGACUACCUGGACUGAUACUGACACUGAGGUGCGAAAGCGUGGGGAGCAAACAGGAUUAGAUACCCCGGUAGUCC